CGCGCAGGCGGCUGUUCAAGUCCGAUGUGAAAGCUUCCGGCUUAACUGGAAAACGGCAUCGGAUACUGGACGGCUGGAAGGUGGGAGAGGGUAGCGGAAUUCCCGGUGUAGUGGUGAAAUGCGUAGAUAUCGGGAGGAACACCAGUGGCGAAAGCGGCUACCUGGCCCACUCUUGACGCUGAGGCGCGAAAGCUAGGGGAGCAAACG
rnacentral:rRNA from 1 species